GGGCCACAUCACAUUGAAACACCAGUUCCCGUACAAUCACCUAAGUUAAGCAACAUUGUGUUUGGUCAGUACUUAGAUGGGUGACUGCUUGGAAAUACCAGU